UACGUAGGGUGCAAGCGUUGUCCGGAAUUAUUGGGCGUAAAGAGCUCGUAGGCGGUUUGUCGCGUCUGCCGUGAAAGUCCGGGGCUCAACUCCGGAUCUGCGGUGGGUACGGGCAGACUAGAGUGAUGUAGGGGAGACUGGAAUUCCUGGUGUAGCGGUGAAAUGCGCAGAUAUCAGGAGGAACACCGGUGGCGAAGGCGGAUCUCUGGGCCAUUACUGACGCUGAGGAGCGAAAGCGUGGGGAGCGAACGGG
rnacentral:rRNA from 1 species